UACGUAGGGGGCAAGCGUUGUCCGGAUUUAUUGGGCGUAAAGCGCUCGCAGGUGGUCCGCUGCGUCGUGCGUGAAAGACCCCGGCUCAACUGGGGAGUGUCGUGCGAUACGGGCGAACUGGAGGCCAGUAGGGGGAUGCGGAAUUCCGGGUGUAGUGGUGGAAUGCGUAGAGAUCCGGAGGAACACCAGCGGCGAAGGCGGCAUCCUGGACUGGUCCUGACACUCAUGAGCGAAAGCGUGGGGAGCGAUCCGG
rnacentral:rRNA from 1 species